rnacentral:rRNA from 1 species
ACACAUGCAAGUCGAACGGAGUUAUUUUGGCAGAAGCCUUCGGGUGGACGCUGAUAUAACUUAGUGGCGAACGGGUGAGUAACACGUGAGCAACCUGCCCUUCAGAGGGGGACAACAGUUGGAAACGACUGCUAAUACCGCAUAAGACCACGGUGUGGCAUCACACAGAGGUCAAAGGAGAAAUCCGCUGAAGGAUGGGCUCGCGUCCAAUUAGCUAGAUGGUGAGGUAACGGCCCACCAUGGCGACGAUUGGUAGCCGGACUGAGAGGUUGAUCGGCCACAUUGGGACUGAGACACGGCCCAGACUCCUACGGGAGGCAGCAGUGGGGAAUAUUGCACAAUGGAGGAAACUCUGAUGCAGCGACGCCGCGUGAGGGAAGAAGGUCUUCGGAUUGUAAACCUCUGUUGUCAGGGACGAUAAUGACGGUACCUGACGAGGAAGCCACGGCUAACUACGUGCCAGCAGCCGCGGUAAAACGUAGGUGGCAAGCGUUGUCCGGAAUUACUGGGUGUAAAGGGAGCGCAGGCGGGAGAGCAAGUUGGAAGUGAAAUCUGUGGGCUCAACUCACAAAUUGCUUUCAAAACUGUUUUUCUUGAGUGGUGUAGAGGUAGGCGGAAUUCCCGGUGUAGCGGUGGAAUGCGUAGAUAUCGGGAGGAACACCAGUGGCGAGGGCGGCCUACUGGGCACUAACUGACGCUGAGGCUCGAAAGCAUGGGUAGCAAACAGGAUUAGAUACCCUGGUAGUCCAUGCCGUAAACGAUGAUUACUAGGUGUGGGAGGAUUGACCCCUUCCGUGCCGCAGUUAACACAAUAAGUAAUCCACCUGGGG